AUAUGAUAAUAGAAGAUGAAGGAUUUGCUGCAGAACGUUGGGCGCCGGAAGAUGGUGCAAGAGCACAGCACAUGACCAACUCCAGGUCGAUUUGAUUGAAGAGGUCUGGGCACGUAGGGGAGGCGGCGUAGCGUGAAGAACAUGUGUGAUUUUCCGUAGAUCAAAUUUUCGUUGUAAUUUUCCCCUCACUUUAAUCCGACGAAAAUUUAGUUUUCAAUUUUAAUUUUA